GUGGUGUUGUAAUGCUCUCUCAAAAAAGAGAAGACGUGGAGCAUGCGCAUAAAGGUUGCUUGGUUCUACCAGGUCUGAUCCAGUAUUUCCUUCUGGUUGCUCCUCUCCACGGUAGAUCCAAGAGGAUGUAGUGAAUGUUGUUAGCUAUGAAAAAAUGAAUAAAAAGA